GCCAGCGUGGCAUAGCUGUUUGAGUAUUGGACUUUGGCUCUGGAGACCAGGGUUCGAUUCUCAGCUCAGUCA